rnacentral:rRNA from 1 species
AGCAGUAGCCACGGUAAUACAGAGGGUGCGAGCGUUAAUCGGAUUUACUGGGCGUAAAGCGUGCGUAGGCGGCUUUUUAAGUCGGAUGUGAAAUCCCUGAGCUUAACUUAGGAAUUGCAUUUGAUACUGGGAAGCUAGAGUAUGGGAGAGGAUGGUAGAAUUCCAGGUGUAGCGGUGAAAUGCGUAGAGAUCUGGAGGAAUACCGAUGGCGAAGGCAGCCAUCUGGCCUAAUACUGACGCUGAGGUACGAAAGCAUGGGGAGCAAACAGGAUUAGAUACCCCCUAGUCCCUGUCUCUUAUACA